UUUAAAUGGAGAGUUUGAUCCUGGCUCAGGAUGAACGCUGGCGGCGUGCUUAACACAUGCAAGUCGAACGAUUAACCCUUCUUCGGAAGGUCAUAAAGUGGCGAACGGGUGAGUAACACGUGACCAACCUGCCUCUCACAUUGGGAUAACUUAGAGAAAUCUAAGCUAAUACCAAAUACUCUUGAUCUGCCGCAUGACGGAUCAAGGAAAGCUUUCGCGGUGAGAGAUGGGGUCGCGGCCCAUUAGGUAGUUGGUGGGGUAGAGGCCUACCAAGCCGAUGAUGGGUAGCCGGGUUGAGAGACCGACCGGCCACAUUGGGACUGAGAUACGGCCCAGACUCCUACGGGAGGCAGCAGUGGGGAAUUUUGCGCAAUGGGCGAAAGCCUGACGCAGCAACGCCGCGUGCGGGAUGACGGCCUUCGGGUUGUAAACCGCUUUCAGUGGGAAAGAUAAUGACGGUACCCACACAAGAAGCUCCGGCUAAAUACGUGCCAGCAGCCGCGGUAAUACGUAUGGAGCAAGCGUUAUCCGGAUUUAUUGGGCGUAAAGCGCGCGUAGGCGGCUUGUUAAGCAAGGUCUUAAAUCUUGGGGCUCAACCUCAAGCCGGAUCUUGAACUGGCAGGCUCGAGUAUGGUAGAGGAAAGUGGAAUUCCCAGUGUAGCGGUGGAAUGCGCAGAUAUUGGGAAGAACACCGAUGGCGAAGGCAGCUUUCUGGGCCAUUACUGACGCUGAGGUGCGAAAGCUAGGGGAGCAAACAGGAUUAGAUACCCUGGUAGUCCUAGCCGUAAACGAUGGGCACUAGGUGUGGGGAGGAUAACCUUUCCGUGCCGCAGCUAACGCAUUAAGUGCCCCGCCUGGGGAGUACGGCCGCAAGGCUAAAACUCAAAGGAAUUGACGGGG
rnacentral:rRNA from 1 species